rnacentral:lncRNA from 1 species
CCCAGAGGUUCCAAUGCUUGCACUGUAAGGAACUCAUCAGGCCCAGAAGGCUCCCAGCCCCAGAGGUUCCCAGAGCUCUUCAGGUGGAAUGUUGAGUCUGCACAAGCCAGGAUGGUGACUCUGGAGAAGUUCUCCAGAAAAGAAUCAGCAUCUAGAGUCUCCUGAGUUCCAGGCCCUUAGAAAUUUAGACUCCAGAACCACUGCCAAAGUGACCCCCUCAGCCCAGCCCUUCGGUACCCAGCAUCCACUGUCCUCAGCCCAGCCCUUCCGUACCCAGCAUCCACUGUCCUGGUGGGAGUCCGCUGUGCUGCUCCAAGAAGACAGACCCUCACCAUUACCGGAAAGACUGACCCUCCUGUGUCCAGGUCCUGUGGCCCAGACUCAGCUCUGGAAGAGAAAUCUGGAUUUACAAUGCUCAGUACGUCGCUCAAAAUCUGCACUCGAUGACGUCUGUAAGCUCUUGGUCCCAGCCUGGGCUGCGAAGCCUGAGGCUUGGGCAGACAAUGCCGUCCCGCCGUCAUCUCUGCUCCCUCUUCGAUCGCUAAGCUCCCACAGCAUUGAUCUAACCAGACAUGGGCCCAGGGAGAGAGCUGUCUUCCCCACCUCCCAGCCCCAAUCCCUCAAUCCCUCGCCUGCCGUGCCAAGACUGGUCAAGGGAAAGUCCAGGAAGAAAGCAUGGUAAGGGGCACCGUGCUGCCUGCGCCCGCCCCGCUGUGCAGAAUGCAGAGGCUCAGGAUGCGGUGCGCAGAGACUCAGUCCCAACCGUCUUGUGGCUUCUUACCACGUAUCUCCCAGGAAGUCACCAUGAGGCUUAGUUCUUCCUUCCUGUGACUGGGGUAAAGGAGAGAACUGUCUCCUUGGACAUCAUCAUCCAUACGCCCGGCCCGAACGUCAUCUCUGACCCAAACACCAAAUCCAGACGGGCAACCACGGCUGUGGGGUGUGGAGGGGGAAUCUGAACACCAACCUGGAGGUCAGACUUGAAGGAGACGGCGACGCUGCCUUCGCCCCAUUCACAAUAUACAACCUUCGAUGGGCCACCUCCCCAGUGAGGCUUCAUCAAGGGGGCUUGGUCAACUUCCUUUUUGUGUGAACGAAAACAUACGUUUCCAGGCGCCUAUUAAGGGCUUGAGUCUGUGUCAGAGACGAGCCACACAAGUCAACGGACCUCACAGUCUAAUGUGGAGGGCACACCUCUGACUAUUCAAAAGUCAUAUAUAGCAUAUUAACCGUAGAUUUUAACAAAUUAGCCUUGAAAUACCUGCAGUUUGUCACAAUGGAAGGCUCACUUCUCACUGGGUGACACGUCCAUAUGGGGGCCCCCGGUUGGCAGUUGGAGCUCCUCCAUCAGGUGACUCAGGUGCCCAGAUUCUUCCAACUUUGGGGUCCAACCUCCCCUAGAACCUUGGAGUGCUCUGUUACCAGUGAGGGGAAAGAGGAAGAGAGAGUGGAAAGGGCUCAUCCGUGCCUUUUAAAUAAAAAAUCUGAAUGUGACCAGGCGCAGUGGCUCACGCCUGUAAUCCCAGCACUUUGGGAGGCCAAGGCAGGCAGAUCACAAGGUCAAGAGAUGGAGAC